CGUUUCCCCCCAAACCCAACACCGAUCACCCGAGCCUUCUUCAUCGAUCUCCCCGACUCCUCUUGCUGUCUCUCUCUCGCGGACGGACCUGUAGCGAUCGUCGACAUCGCCGGAGGAGCUCGUCGCCAGAGCUUGCUGGAGCACGACGGAACUGGUGGACUCCGGGUCUUCUUCGACCGAGGGGUCUCGGAUUCGGGAGUUUCUUGUGUCGAUCGUCGCCGGCACAGAUCGGUCUUGGAGCGAGGAGGAGGGAAACUUGUCGAGCCUUCGGUCUCCUUCAUUCUCCGAUUUCUUUCUUCCUCAGCCGAUUUUGUCGACUUUUCUUCUCCGAUCGACGCCAUUGGAUCGGGCUGAUCCACCGAUCGCCUGCGUGAAGGGGCAAUUAGGGUUUCAAGGGUCAGAUCUUGGAUCCCUUCUUCGUGGUUGCUGAUUAAGGCCGCGGUCGAGUGGGAUAAAUUUCCAGCAGGGGGGUCUUGUUGUGGUGUUCUGCAAUCCGUCAACGUCUCCUUCCGACAGCCACCAGCCAUGAUUGAGGAGGAACAGAGAGUGAAUUGUUGAUCUCCUCUCUUGAUCCGAUCCGUUAGGUGAGUUUUGUUUACUGUGAGGUUUUGGUUGUGAAUUAGGGUUCCGAUCUCUUCUCUGUUCGUUAGCAAGAACAAGAUCGAGCCCUAAUCGGGAUAUUGGAGGUAAGGGAGGUUUUUGUGGUGAUUCCGGCCACCACAGCUGGAUUGGAUUGAUUCCUCCACUAGAGUUGUGAUCAUCUCCGGUGAUAGAAGAAGCAGAGGACCUUGAUCUGGACGAGUUGCGUGACGUGGUGGUUCUGUUGAUUUCGGGAUAUAUCGAGGCAGUAGGUAGACGAUAUGGAGAUGCUUGGAGUAUGUUGCUGGCCGAUCCCACUUCCCACGUCAUAUCCGAAGACCCUUUUCGGUUUUGUUUCUCUUUUCCUACACUUCGACUUUGUUGGAUUUAGAGUUGUGAAAACGAACUAUGUUUGAUACGUGUAUCGUGGACUUAUACCUAUGGUGUGUUUUGGGGACUUUCUCAUUUGUGGGUUCUUUAUUCA